AGCCUGAACGCUGGCGGCGUGGCUAAGACAUGCAAGUCGUACGGAGGUAGCAAUACCUCAGUGGCGAACGGGUGAGUAAUGAAUCGCUAACGUGCCCUGGACUUCGGGAUAGCUAUCCGAAAGGGUAGGUAAUACCGGGUGAUAUACCCUUUCCGCAUGGAAGGGGUCUCAAAGGUCCGCCGGUCUUCGGUGGAUGGUCUGGGAGCGGGCGAUUUCGUAUCAGCUAGUUGGUGGGGUAACGGCCCACCAAGGCGACGACGCGUAGCCGGACUGAGAGGUUGGCCGGCCACAUUGGGACUGAGACACUGCCCAGACUCCUACGGGGGCUGCAGUAACGAAUCUUCCGCAAUGCACGAAAGUGUGACGGAGCGACGCCGCGUGGAGGACGAAGUUCUUCGGAAUGUAAACUCCUGUCAGGGAAAGAAAGUUCUGAUCUACCCAGAGGAAGAGGCGGCUAACUCUGCGCCAGCAGCCGC
rnacentral:rRNA from 1 species